rnacentral:rRNA from 1 species
CAGUAGCCACGGGAAUACGGAGGGCGCGAGCGUUACCCGGAUUUACUGGGCGUAAAGGGCGUGUAGGCGGCCUGGGGCGUCCCAUGUGAAAGGCCACGGCUCAACCGUGGAGGAGCGUGGGAUACGCUCAGGCUAGAGGGUGGGAGAGGGUGGUGGAAUUCCCGGGGUAGCGGUGAAAUGCGCAGAUACCGGGAGGAACGCCGAUGGCGAAGGCAGCCACCUGGUCCACUUCUGACGCUGAGGCGCGAAAGCGUGGGGAGCAAACCGGAUUAGAUACCCGUGUAGUCCCUGUCUCUUAUAC